CCUACGGGAGGCAGCAGUGGGGAAUUUUCCGCAAUGGGCGGAAGCCUGACGGAGCAACGCCGCGUGAGGGAUGAAGGCCUCUGGGCUGUAAACCUCUUUUAUCAAGGAAGAAGAUCUGACGGUACUUGAUGAAUAAGCCACGGCUAAUUCCGUGCCAGCAGCCGCGGUAAUACGGGAGUGGCAAGCGUUAUCCGGAAUUAUUGGGCGUAAAGCGUCCGCAGGCGGUCUUUUAAGUCUGUCGUCAAAGCGUGGAGCUUAACUCCAUUACUGCGAUGGAAACUGGAAGACUAGAGUGUGGUAGGGGCAGAGGGAAUUCCCGGUGUAGCGGUGAAAUGCGUAGAUAUCGGGAAGAACACCAGUGGCGAAGGCGCUCUGCUGGGCCAUAACUGACGCUCAUGGACGAAAGCCAGGGGAGCGAAAGGGAUUAGAUACCCCUGUAGUCCUGGCCGUAAACGAUGAACACUAGGUGUCGGGGGAAUCGACCCCCUCGGUGUCGUAGCCAACGCGUUAAGUGUUCCGCCUGGGGAGUACGCACGCAAGUGUGAAACUCAAAGGAAUUGACGG
rnacentral:rRNA from 1 species